GUGAUCAUCUCAUCCCUGUGAACUUUCCUGGUUUCACAGAUGCUUAUUUUUGAAGCAGAAUAGGAAGCUAGCCUGACUAGCUUAAAUUUCUCUUGAUUGAAUAGUAAUUGGUCCUGAAAUGGGUAAAUGUAUUUGAAAAAUUCAGUGUUAACAGGCUCCUGGAAACUGGAGCUGCAGAACUGAACAGCCUGCAGGGCCCUGGCUAGCAAGGUGCACAAAAGCAGAGCUGAGAGCACGGUGGCUUUCGGCUGGCUGCGUACCUGCUUGGAGGACGGGAAUCGCGGCGAGGAGACCGAGGAUUUUACAUCUUCUCCGCUGCCUGUAGGUGUGUCCACGGUGUUGUGGACCUCGGCUCCGAUCGCGGGAGAGCAUCGUUCGGGUCACUUCGGCCACGGCAGCGUCUGUAGCCAUGGAGUGGCUCCGCCACAAGCGCAGUGGAAAGCAUCCCCGAAACGGGGUUUGAAUGAGCGGGUCGCGAGCAGGAGCAGCAUGAGCUGUCAGCCCUGGGCUCCCUGCAGGCUGUGGCGAGUCCGUGGGCCAACGAAAACGGGCCAAGCCCCUGCUCUGCCUCCUGGCUUGAAAACCGCUGGAGCUGGCAUGUGUGAGCAGGGACCUGAAGCGGUGCUGGAAGCUGCUCGGCUGCCUCGGCCCAGUGGAGAGGGACGCAGGCCUGGGAGAUGGGGAUGGGCGCACACCUCUCCUGCAGCGCUGCCUCCCGCCGGUUCGGACAAAACGCUGCCUUUUCCCCCAGAGCUCCUGUUUCCCUCCUUAGGAGAGGUUGGGAUGAAGCACGCGCUUUGUGUGGACUCCUGUGGAAGUCAUUGCUUGCACCUGCAAAUUUACAGCUGGGAGUAGAAAUGAAGUGCCACGAAGACUCUGUGCCACUUAUUUAGUUGUUAGGACCUUUAAUUUCCAGUUAAUCUUCACGUGAGUUUUGCCGCAGAGUUUUCUCAGCUGCCUGCCCCCUCCGUACCCGCAGAUUGCCGCCUGCAGCAGUGCCCAGAGCAGGUAAUAAAAGCCGCGGGGAGCUGGGGAGCCUGCCGUGG
rnacentral:lncRNA from 1 species